GGGGGAUUAGCUCAGUUGGUUAGAGCGGGGCGCUCAUAACGCCUGUGUCGUGGGUUCAAGUCCCUCAUCCCCCACCA
rnacentral:tRNA from 1 species